UUGCAUUAAGGAUUGACGUGAAAAUCCUUUUUGUGAAGAAUGAACAAAAAGAUUGUAACAGAAAGCCCGACUUUUC
rfam:Polaribacter sp. KT25b genome assembly, chromosome: I